UCUGGCACACCCGGUGGCAUUC
rnacentral:miRNA from 1 species